GUGAGGAAUAUUGGUCAAUGGACGGAAGUCUGAACCAGCCAUGCCGCGUGCAGGAAUAAGGUCCUAUGGAUUGUAAACUGCUUUUAUUCGGGAAUAAACCUCUUUACGUGUAGGGAGCUGAAGGUACCGAAGGAAUAAGCACCGACUAACUCCGUGCCAGCAGCCGCGGUAAUACGGAGGGUGCAAGCGUUAUCCGGAAUCAUUGGGUUUAAAGGGUCCGCAGGCGGGCUAUCAAGUCAGAGGUGAAAUCCCACAGCUUAACUGUGGAACUGCCUUUGAAACUGAUGGUCUUGAAUUAAGUGGGCGUUGGCGGAAUAUGACAUGUAGCGGUGAAAUGCAUAGAUAUGUCAUGGAACACCGAAAGCGAAGGCAGCUAACGAUACUUAUAUUGACGCUCAUGGACGAAAGCGUGGGUAGCGAACAGGAUUAGAAACCCCAGUAGUCC
rnacentral:rRNA from 1 species